AGCCCAAGCCCAACUACAGAACCCCGGGGGAAGCGAUCGAGGAGAGAGAGAGAGAGAGAGGGAGGGAGGAGAGAGAAAGCUCGAGAGUGCGAUAACAAUGGCGGAGGAGGUGAAGCUGGGGUCGACGAAGCCGAUGAUCGCGACGCAAGCGGAGAUGGUGGAGGCGCGGGUGCCCAUCCCUUACCGCGACCAGUGCGCCCACCUCCUCAUCCCCCUCAACCUCUGCCGCGCCGCCGAGUUCUACCUCCCAUGGCGGUGCGAGCUCGAGCGCCACGGCUACGAGAAGUGCGAGUACGAGCUCGUCAUGGAGCGCAUGCUCCAGAUGCAGCGGAUCCGCGAGAUCGAGAAGACGACGAAGGCGAAGCAGAUCCAAUCCGGGGGCGCCCCGAUCCCCCUCAUCCCCUCCCCCGCUAACGCCUAAAAAGGGGUUUCAUAAGAGACAUAGAGAGCAGGGAAUGUAAACAUGUUGGUGAUCAAGAGAGCAGGGAUCCUCAGCUGGAACUCAGUAUAUUAUUCUGUAACUCGUCGCAAGGACUGUAAACUUGUUAUGCAAUCAAGAACUUCUCUUUGAUUCGGAUAAACUGAGACUACCUGUUAUGUUUCCUCCUUGUUUUAAGCUCCCAGUUCAGUUUUUAGAAAUAAAAGAAUUAAGUGUUCAUAUAUUACACCUUGAAAGAGGUACAAGACAGUUAAAUUAAUUGCAUCUUCAAUUGUUCUUCCUUGUUGCA